CCCUCGCAUCGGAGUCCUUGACUAGUCUAACAAAGGCUGAAUGGUACUCUACACUUGACUUGGCAAGUGGCUAUUGGCAAGUUGAAGUAGACCUUCAAGAUAAAGAGAAGACUGCAUUUACCACUCCAUUUGGUUUAUACAAAUUGAGAUAAUGUCCUUUUCCAGAGAUUAAUGCAGCACUGUCUUGGAGGCCAGGUGUACGACUCACUAUUGAUUUAUCUUGAUAAUGUAAUUAUUUAUUCUGCUGACUUUGCAUCUCACUUGAAAGAUUUUGAGGCUGUCUUUGAGAGGUCAGGCCACUAUGGAUUGAAGCUGCAUCCAGCAAAGUGCAAAUUCUUCCAGCUUGAAGUACAGUACCUGGGACAUGUUGUGAGCUGCCAAGGAGUUGUGCCUGACCCAGGUAAAGUUGCUGUGGUGAAAGACUAGGACUGUUAAACAGAUGUGUUCAUUCCUUGGAUUUGCAGGGUAUUCCUUGGAUUUUGCCAGUAUUGCUUCCCCCAUUCAGAAUCUAUUGACUGGCAUAUCAAAUACCAAGAACAAGGCCAGACAGUAGCAUGGACUGAACUGUGUGAAGCUGCUUUCAUCUAGUUGAAGGCUGCUUUACUUCAGGCCCCAGUAUUGACUUUUGCUGACUUCUCACUGUCUUUUAUUGUGUACACAGGUGCCAGCAAGGAGGGACUUGGUCUUAGCUUAGCAUCAAUGAUGGAAAAGAGAGGAUAAUGGCCUAACUACAGCUCUUUAAAUGAAAGCUCCUUGCUUUAAAGUGGGCAGAUAAAUUUAAAGAUUACCUGACCGGGGCAAAGUUCACAGUUUAUACCGACAAUAAUCCUCUAGCCCACUUAGAAACUGCCAACUUAGGGGCUGUGGAGCAGAGAUGGGCAGCACAACUGUCCAACUUUCAGUUUGACAUCUUGUACAGGUAAAAAUAAUGUGAAUGCUGACGUGCUUUCCAGGUUGCCAGAAAACUUUCCAGGGAGAGAGGGUCCGGAAGUGGCAGACAGAGAUGCAGUAGAAGUUCCUUCCUUCCAGACCGUGAAUCCAGAGGUGGUCCAAGCUUGCUGCAGUGGAGUAACAGGUCUACAUGUACAGGCUGAGGAUGGUAGUGUCUGUCAGAGUGGGGGUGGGCACCAGAGAGAUGGAUCUAGGCACAAUGGAAGGACCCAUUGAUCCAGCAGUUCAAGGAUGGGGGAUCUUUCCCCACUCCUGCAGCGCGUGAACAGGAUGCCCCCAGGAUGCUGUAGGCUCUGCAACAAUGGGAAUGGCUAGAGUAACAGGACGGGGUACUUUGUCGGCGGAGCAUGGACCCAAGUACACUAGAGACAUGCAUGGCUACCAAUGGAUUUGGCCCUGGGGAUUGCAAAGCCCGAGGUACCCCGACAUACAGAUGAAUGGGUGCAUCACCAUUACCAGAAGAUGGCUUUUGCCUAUGAAAAAGCAGGGAAGCAGAUGGCCCAGAGCACAGAGAGACAUCGCAAGAACUAUGACAAGGUGACGAAGCAAGCUCUAUUGCUACCUGGUGAAAGGGUGUUGGUCAAGAAUCAGAGGCUGUGGGGCAAAGAACUUGAUCACCAAUUGACCAUGGAAACUAUUGCCCUAAUUACCUGCACCUGAAGCGGCUUGGGUGUGAGACUGUUUAAAAGCAUGCUUGAAAAAGCAGAAGGAGAGCAACAACUGAGACAGAACCGAGCAGCGGUGGCAGCAGCAACCGCAACAGCGAAAGCAAUGAAAGUGAAAGAGGUUUUACCGUGGGGCGAUCGACACCGGUUUUAACCAACAAGAUUCCUAACUGGACAGGAGGGUACACAGGACAGCGGAGCAGCUGCGGCACCACAGACAGAGGAGCGGAUGGACUGAUAGAUGAGGCAUUGGGGACCCGUGUGCUGCAGCAGGGCUAUAUGAAGCUGUCAGAGGGAGUCGUAUUUACUACUCCAUCGCAAAAGUUGCCUUUUUAAUUAUUUUAAUAGGUUGUAGUUAGUUGUCUUAUUGUCUAUUUUAGGGUUUAGUGUUAGUUAUUUUAUUUUCUUAUUCAUUUUAUGGUGGCUGUCUUUUAAUUUGUCUACUGGCAUCUGGAAUAAAAUAAUGUAUGCACCCUAAUCUAAUUACAGCAAUACACCGUCAUAUAUCAAACACACUUCAUCAA